CUCCUACGGGGCGCAGCAGUCGGGAAUAUUGCGCAAUGGAGGAAACUCUGACGCAGUGACGCCGCGUAUAGGAAGAAGGUUUUCGGAUUGUAAACUAUUGUCAUUAGGGAAGAUAAAAGACUGUACCUAAGGAGGAAGCCCCGGCUAACUAUGUGCCAGCAGCCGCGGUAAUACAUAGGGGACAAGCGUUAUCCGGAUUUAUUGGGUGUAAAGGGCGUGUAGGCGGGAGCGCAAGUCAGAUGUGAAAACUCAGGGCUCAACCCUGAGCCUGCAUUUGAAACUGUGUUUCUUGAGUGCUUGAGAGG
rnacentral:rRNA from 1 species